UACGUAGGGGGCGAGCGUUGUCCGGAUUUAUUGGGCGUAAAGAGCUCGUAGGCGGUUUGGUAAGUCGGAUGUGAAAUCUCCAGGCUCAACCUGGAGGGGUCAUUCGAUACUGCCAUGACUAGAGUUCGGUAGGGGUGUGUGGAAUUCCUGGUGGAGCGGUGAAAUGCGCAGAUAUCAGGAGGAACACCGGUGGCGAAGGCGGGUCUCUGGGCCGAAACUGACGCUGAGGAGCGAAAGCGUGGGGAGCAAACAGG
rnacentral:rRNA from 1 species